rnacentral:misc_RNA from 1 species
GAAAAGAGGUCCAUACAUUACACAUUAAUUAUUGGUAGUAAAUGUCAACAUCCGUAGAAUGCUAGACUUGUUGAGUCCAACAAAGGACAUCCUAAAUUCCUAAUAUUGUCAGCAAUAAAAGGGUUUCUUCAAGGAGUCCAAUCCUAUUAUCUUUGAGAGAACCAUAAUCUAAUCAAUAGGACCAGUAAUAUGAACAAGCUCAACUCAUAGGGGCAAUGCUUGCAACUUCCAAUAGGUGACAAAAGAUGAUGCAAAAGGUAAGCUUUCUUAUUAAUGGGGUUUUCCCUUUAUUUUCAAAUAUUCAUUGUCAUGGAAUCAUGCAAUUUCAGUGGCAACCCUUUUAUUUUCAUUGUACAUGACCGGGAGAAGUAUAAUCACCUGUACUUGCACUGAUCUGAUA